CUAAAACGUACAAUGUUAUAGCCUAGUAUGCUGUCGGCAAGUAACUGCGCGGGUAAUGAAUUCGUAACUGUAAUGCAUGCUGUCCUAGAUGAAUAAUUGAUGAAGUAAAAUAUCUGGAAUUAAAACCGCGGAGUCAGUAUUAGAAAAUAUGGCGGUUUCAUAUUAUAUGAAUUAUAAUUGAACAAUGAGACGAAUAGCACUUAUUCUUCCAAGACGUUUUAUCAUUCUGCAUAGGAUGGAAAUCAUUUAAUUGUCUUUCUACCUCGUGGUUAGAGAAGUUUGUACAAAAUACGGUCGCAUUUCAAACUAAUUGAGAAUUAGACUAAACCAAUCUUGAUUUGGAAAGAGGGAUCAGACCGCAAAGCCACAAAGUAAUGAAGAUAUAUACUGUUUGCUGCAACAAUUAUCAUUUCAGACAGAUACAUUUUGUUUCAUCGGACACCGCACUGGAGCAAACAAAGAGCGAUAUCACGAAACAAUACAAGUUCGUAUAGAUCUGAGUGUAUA